UAAAAUGGUAACUUUCUACCCAUGGUUAAACCUUAUUCUUGAUUCAAUUUAUAAAGCAAGUAUUUGGUUUAUCAAUACCUACGUCUAAUUGAGUCCUAUGACGCACCCGUAUCAAGAGUUACUUGAACUUCUAACAGUAAAAGAACGGAUUCUAGACAAGUAAAUCAAAACAUUGCUUUUAGUGAAACUAAAGCAGACACCAACGACCAAUAAUCCAUCAUUAGCCUUUAUCGACAUAUAUGAUAAAACGGGGAUUCUCCUACAUAAGUAUAUCCCCUCCAGCCUCCGCUUAACAUUAACUCAAUACAUUUUAAUUCGUUAUUACAAGUUGAUAGCGUUUUAAGAUUGGUUUCCGCGUUACUUACGUAGGAUCAAAACAUUGGUAAUUAAAGAAAUGCAGAGUAAUUUGUAGCGGUUGGUGUUUGUUAAUUCGGUUAGUGAUUUGUGAGUGCCAGCAUGCCAUCCACGUAUCUUUCGCAUUUGGCCGACGUCUCUAUUUCGGAUUCUGAUCUCGAUAGUUCCGUGUAUUUCUUAAACUCGAACGCUAGACCAACGGAUGAAUGCCCAUUUCAAAUUAUGGAAGAUUCAACAGUACCGCCGGGUCACAAUGGCGUCGAAGAUAAAACAGAAUAUUGGAGAGUUCCAGUUAGUAAUGCGAUACUAAACAACAAACCAAUUUGAGUUUGAUCUUCCGGUCUAGCCUUCAGAAGGAAAAAUGUAUGACGUUUCGGCU